rnacentral:rRNA from 1 species
GUGGUAAUGCCGGAUGUUCCACAUGAUCGCAUGUGAUUGUGGGAAAGAUUUCAUCGGCGUGGGAUGGGGUCGCGUCCUAUCAGCUUGUUGGUGAGGUAACGGCUCACCAAGGCUUCGACGGGUAGCCGGCCUGAGAGGGCGACCGGCCACAUUGGGACUGAGAUACGGCCCAGACUCCUACGGGAGGCAGCAGUGGGGAAUAUUGCACAAUGGGCGCAAGCCUGAUGCAGCGACGCCGCGUGAGGGAUGGAGGCCUUCGGGUUGUAAACCUCUUUUGUUUGGGAGCAAGCCUUCGGGUGAGUGUACCUUUCGAAUAAGCGCCGGCUAACUACGUGCCAGCAGCCGCGGUAAUACGUAGGGCGCAAGCGUUAUCCGGAUUUAUUGGGCGUAAAGGGCUCGUAGGCGGCUCGUCGCGUCCGGUGUGAAAGUCCAUCGCUUAACGGUGGAUCUGCGCCGGGUACGGGCGGGCUGGAGUGCGGUAGGGGAGACUGGAAUUCCCGGUGUAACGGUGGAAUGUGUAGAUAUC